rnacentral:rRNA from 1 species
UACGGAGGAUGCAAGCGUUAUCCGGAAUGAUUGGGCGUAAAGCGUCCGCAGGUGGCUGUGUAAGUCUGCUGUUAAAGAGUGAGGCUCAACCUCAUAAAAGCAGUGGAAACUACACAGCUAGAGUGCGUUCGGGGCAGAGGGAAUUCCUGGUGUAGCGGUGAAAUGCGUAGAGAUCAGGAAGAACACUGGUGGCGAAGGCGCUCUGCUAGGCCGCAACUGACACUGAGGGACGAAAGCUAGGGGAGCGAAUGGG